ACUUCGGUACAUCGGUGACAGGUGGUGCGAUGGUUGUCGUCAGCUCGUGUCGUGAGAUGUUGGGUUAAGUCCGCAACGAGCGCAACCCCUAUUGUUAGUUGCCAUCAUUCAGUUGGGCACUCUAGCGAGACUGCCGGUAAUAAACCGGAGGAAGGUGGGAUGACGUCAAAUCAUCAUGCCCCUUAUGACCUGGGCUACACACGUGCUACAAUGGUUGGUACAACGAGUUGCGAGUCGGUGACGGCGAGCUAAUCUCUUAAAGCCAAUCUCAGUUCGGAUUGUAGGCUGCAACUCGCCUACAUGAAGUCGGAAUCGCUAGUAAUCGCGGAUCAGCACGCCGCGGUCGAAUACGUUCCCGGGCCUU
rnacentral:rRNA from 1 species